rnacentral:rRNA from 1 species
GCUCUCGAACAACAAGAUGUUAUAGAGGGUGAGUAUCCUGUAUGUGAGCUCGCCCACACGCCCGUGCCAAUCUCUUUCGACGACUAGAUUUUUUUGAGAACGCAGCUCAAUAUGGGCGCAAAAUCUUAUCAAAAGAUAAAUAUUCCCCAGAGCCCUAGCGCGCACAAGUAGAGUUAUCGAAAUAUGAAAGGCAUUUGGGAGAGAGACUCACACAGCAUGUGAAAUUGUUAAAAGAAAAGCGCUUGCCCCCAGACUCCCCCGGGGGCGAUCACCCGGUUUUUAUAGCGGCGCUCUCCCCCGCGGUCAGGCCCGCAUCGGUUGGGGGGGCGGGACAAAGUCCGCGGGAAUAUAGCUCCUCUGGGAGAGUGAUAUACCCAGCGGUCCCACACACCCCCCCCGCCCCGAGGACCGCGCUUCGGCUAGGAUGCUGGCGUAAUGGUUGUAAGCGACCCGUCUUGAAACACGGACCAAGGAGUCUAACAUCUAUGCGAGUGUUUGGGUGUCAAACCCAUGCGCGUAAUGAAAGUGAACGGAGGUGGGAACCCUCAAGGGUGCACCAUCGACCGAUCCUGAUGUCUUCGGAUGGAUUUGAGUAAGAGCAUAGCUGUUGGGACCCGAAAGAUGGUGAACUUGCCUGAAUAGGGUGAAGCCAGAGGAAACUCUCGUUUCUCCAGCGGUUCUGACGUGCAAAUCGAUCGUCAAAUUUGGGUAUAG